GAGCCUCGAAAACAGGUUUUACAUAAACGGGGAAAAAACACUUCCAAGGUGUGGACGUCUUCGAUUGUCUGACCUUCGUGGAAGUAGAAGAUAUCCAAGAUUGGUCCGAUACUUUUUCCAUCCAUCAUGCAGGAUAGGCAAGCUACGUCUGUAUAUGGGUCCAAACGCUCACCGUUUGUACAAAUUAACAAAAAAUGGUCACACUCGACCCAUCAAAUGGGCAGCACAUCUAUUGGACAACAAAACGAGCGAGGGGAAGGAAUAGGGAAGAACCAGGAACUUUUUGUCCCUCGAUCCCUUUGUCUUUUGUGCUCUCAAAGAGUUCGCUCGUGAUCCAAACACACUGAACCAACCAAUACGAACAUCAGUCGAAAUGGAUCAUAAUUUUCGUUCAUCGUCCCAGAACAUGAGAUCCUCGUCAAAUGAAACUCUCUUCUACGUAUAUGUUGAGUAGUGGGUAAGUGAAGAGCCACUUUCAUUCACGCGAGGCACAAAGCAAGUAUGCCAAACCAGCGAGCCUUUUCCGUGCUCAUAUAUCAAGAAGGCCUCAAGACCAGGAGAAGGCACAUUGGAACGCCCCCAGUGAAAGAAGUACAAUCAAUAUUCUCAUCUUUUUAUGGACCAAGCCUGGGAAUGGACCUCGUAUCAUCAAUUUUGCAUCCGCAACACAGAACAAGAAGAUGAUGAAGAUCAAGUGGAGCUGGGAACUGUUCCACGUGGGGUUAUAUUUUGCCAAGACAUGUCAUUUGUAUCACUGAGCAAUUCAAUGUUGGGUUUUGAAUCUACUACGGAAAUAAUUAAGCCAAAUGCAAAAAGAGCCGGAUCGUUGUCCCGUG